GCUACGCUGGCGGCGUGUCUUAGCCAUGCAAGUCGAGCGGACUUAUGGGGGUAACUUAUAAGUCAGCGGCGGACGGCGGAGUAACACGUAGCUAACCUACCCUCUGGACGGGGAUAACCUACCGAAAGGUGGGCUAAUACCCGAUGUAGUCAUCCUGUAUAGGGGUGAUGAAAGGUGGGCUUCUGUUUACAAGCUCAUGCUGGAGGAGGGGGCUGCGGCCUAUCAGGUAGUUGGUAGGGUAAUAGCCUACCAAGCCGAUGACGGGUAGCCGGCCUGAGGGGGUGACCGGCCCGAGGGGCACUGAGAUACGGGUCCCACUCCUACGGGAGGCAGCAGGCUAGAAAUUUGGGCAAUGGGGGAAACCCUGACCCAGUGACGCCGCGUGCAGGAAGGAGCCCUUCGGGGUGUAAACUGCUGUCGUGUAGGGAGAAGGGUACUAAGGUGAACAAUCUUAGUACUUGACGGUACUACAGGAGGAAGCCCAGGCUAACCUCGUG
rnacentral:rRNA from 1 species